rnacentral:rRNA from 1 species
CCCGGUGAUCAUAGGAUUCUGGUCAUACCCGUUCCCAUUCCGAACACGGUCGUCAAGCAGAAUCCGCCGAUGAUAUUGCUUAAGCGAGAAAGUAGGUCGUUGCCGGGG